rnacentral:rRNA from 1 species
UACGUAGGGUGCAAGCGUUGUUCGGAAUUACUGGGCGUAAAGCGCGCGUAGGCGGGUUCACAUGUCGAUUGUGAAAGCCCUGGGCUUAACCCGGGAUGUGCAGUCGAAACGGUGAAUCUUGAGUGCCUGAGAGGAUGGCGGAAUUCCCGGUGUAGAAGUGAAAUUCGUAGAUAUCGGGAAGAACACCUGAGGCGAAGGCGGCUAUCUGGCGGUGCACUGACGCUAAGGCGCGAAAGCGUGGGGAGCAAACAGG